rnacentral:tRNA from 1 species
UCAUCGUGGGCAGGCCCUUGAGGCGCAUCCCCUCCCACGGCGUGUAGUCGAUGGCGUGGUGCAGGUCCGUGUUGGUCAG